rnacentral:tRNA from 1 species
UUGUAGAGAGGACGAAUGGUAAGUCACCGGGCUCAUGCCCCGAAAAAGUGGGUUCGAUUCCCGCCUCUACA